UACGUAGGGUGCAAGCGUUGUCCGGAAUUAUUGGGCGUAAAGAGCUCGUAGGCGGCUUGUCGCGUCGGCUGUGAAAACCUGGGGCUCAACCCCGGGCCUGCAGCCGAUACGGGCAAGCUAGAAUUCGGUAGGGGAGACUGGAAUUCCUGGUGUAGCGGUGAAAUGCGCAGAUAUCAGGAGGAACACCGGUGGCGAAGGCGGGUCUCUGGACAGUUCCUGACACUGAGGCACGAAGGCCAGGGGAGCAAACGGG
rnacentral:rRNA from 1 species